UGUGGCUUGAAUGUACUGCUUAUGCGCCUAUUUCAGGGCAGCUGAAGGCCCUUGGCCCCACCCCCUCCUUUUGUCUCUCUCUUUCUUCUUCUUAUUUGACCUUUGGUGCAAGUUCUAUAAGAAGAAAAAUGAAUAAAAUAAUUGAUGGAAGUCAGAGAGUCUUUUUUACCGUGAGAAUCAUAGAAGUUUUUCCCUCCUUUUCUUCUUUUUUUUUGUGUGUGGAGGGACUUUGGCACUUUCGUGGGAGGAUUCUCGAACUGGUCAGGCUCGAUGCCAGAGGCACGUGGGCAUGUUGGAGAAAUUGUGACAAAAAAAUUCAAUCGAGCUUGAGCAACUCUGUCCCCUUUGUUCAAGAACAUGGAGUAGUCUGGUUGCAUCUUUGAUUGUGGAA
rnacentral:lncRNA from 1 species